ACCACCACCACCCUGCGUACGGACCUGUGCUACGUCGAAUACAUAAUCCGACUAUAUCGGUCAGCGUAAGUCUGUUUUAACAUUUAUUUGCAAACGUAAUUACUUUCAUUUAUAAUAAUUUUAUAAUAAAGACUAUAAAAUUAUGCAUAACACUGGCUCUUGAAAAUGUUUAGUAAAAUCUUUACUCAGGAAUCUGUACGUUUAAAGUUUAUUUAUUUAUAAUUCAAUUAAUUGGAAUCUGGAUAAUUACGUUGUGUUUUGUUAUUACAUUGUUUAUUUCAUUAUAUGCAGAGUAAUCAUUUAUAAUGCUUAAUAGACAGAAGGCCACAAAGGCGCUAGAUUAGUACAUAAUUAUGAUAAUAAUAAUAAUUAUUAUUAUUAUUAUUAUUAUAAGUCUGUGUCGUCUUAAAAGACGAACGAAGGUUAAAAGCGAUAAUAUGACUGGUCGGUUCCUGAACAGUCAUACCUGGGAUUUGAUUGGCUUAGAGAUAACAACAGGAAAAAACGCGCCAUUUGCAGUUUGCUAAAAUAAAUUUAAUAAUAAAUAAUGACAAAACAUUGUGUAUUUUGCACUAUGAAUUGGAUUUGAGAUCAUUUUGAUUGAGCAGAAACAAUCACAGUUUAUUACCGAAUACUUGGCUAUGGCGGAAAAUGAAGAACUUCGGUCAAGUUUCGGAUGUCCUACUAUUUUCGUCACGUUUGGAAGGGAAAAAAGAAAAAUCGUCAGCACAUUCUGGUCAUCAUAUUAUGGAAAUAUUUGUGACUGAAUCCCAUCUGAAUGUUGGAUGACAUAUAUCAAGAUGACACUGAACAGGACAUAACUGAGGAAAAUGGAUGUGAGAGAAUCCAAUCUAACAGUUGGAAAUAAAUAUAUGUACUAUUUAUAAAAUAUUUGUUUGCAUAUACUGUUCAGAUAUAUUAGUGAGUCAGAAUGAAACAUCACUUUGUUUGUUAAGACUAUUGUGCUUCAAUUUUUAUGUUUUGUGGACAGCUAGUUUACAGAUAGGGUGUGUAAGCAGUGGCAUUAAUACAGCAAUUGCCCGAGAAUAUUGAAAUUUGGCCUCCAAGGACAGAUUGCUACCUAUUUAGUUCAUCACAGACUACUGGAUGUAAAAAAUUAAAUUGAUAAUAAUUCUGACCCAUAGUCUUAAGAGGAAGCUCUCUACAUGUUUCAAAAGCAGCAAGUCAUCUUUCAUAAUUAUGAUCUUUCCUUGGACAGGACCUAA